AAAAAAUUUACAAUUUUUUUUCAAAUUUUGCCAAAAUAACAGGGAACAAAAUAGGUAUAAACCCUAAAAUAUAUCAAUUAUACUCAAGUUUAUUAUUCAACUUAUUUUUAUUUAACUACGUACAUUAUACAAACAUAAAGAAUUUUAUGUCUUAUAUUAUAAAUUCCUCAAAUCUAUUUUUGUAAUUGCAUAAUCAAUCUCAGAAUAAAAGACUUACUAGGAAGGAAUUACUAAGUGAGACUCUAAA
rnacentral:lncRNA from 1 species